GAGCCAUUAGCUCAGUUGGUAGAGCAUCUGACUUUUAAUCAGAGGGUCGUAGGUUCGAGUACUUCAAGGGACACCA
rnacentral:tRNA from 1 species